rnacentral:rRNA from 1 species
UACGGAGGGUGCAAGCGUUGUUCGGAAUCACUGGGCGUAAAGCGUGUGUAGGCGGUCUGCUAAGUCGGGUGUGAAAGCCCUGGGCUCAACCCAGGAAGUGCACUCGAAACUGGCAGGCUAGAGUACUGGAGAGGUUGGUGGAAUUCUCGGUGUAGAGGUGAAAUUCGUAGAUAUCGAGAGGAACACCGGUGGCGAAGGCGGCCAACUGGACAGAUACUGACGCUGAGACACGAAAGCGUGGGGAGCAAACAGG